GGCUGAUAAGAGAGCUAGUGAGCUUAGUGAACCAUGCUCUGGGUGCUUGCUUCAACCCAUACAGGGAUCAAUUAGUUUUCACACCAUUUUAUCAUUUCCAGCUUCAUAUCCAAAUAGCUGCUUCAUGUAAACUUCUUUCUGCAACUCCCCAUU